rnacentral:rRNA from 1 species
UGGGGAAUAUUGCACAAUGGGCGAAAGCCUGAUGCAGCAACGCCGCGUGAGUGAUGAAGGUCUUCGGAUUGUAAAACUCUGUCUUUGGGGACGAUAAUGACGGUACCCAAGGAGGAAGCCACGGCUAACUACGUGCCAGCAGCCGCGGUAAUACGUAGGUGGCAAGCGUUGUCCGGAUUUACUGGGCGUAAAGGAUGCGUAGGCGGAUUUUUAAGUGGGAUGUGAAAUACCCGAGCUCAACUUGGGUGCUGCAUUCCAAACUGGAAGUCUAGAGUAUGGGAGAGGAUAGUGGAAUUCCUAGUGUAGCGGUGAAAUGCGUAGAGAUUAGGAAGAACACCAGUGGCGAAGGCGACUAUCUGGACCACAACUGACGCUGAGGCAUGAAAGCGUGGGGAGCAAACAGG